CCUGACCCCGUGAUCCACCCACCUCGGCCUCCCAAAGUGCUGGGAUGACAGGCUUGAGCCACCGUGCCCGGCCAAAGGCAGAAUUCUUGUAAGUUUUUUAAAAAAUGUGAACAUAGAUGCAGCACCUACUUUUUAAACUUGAAAAAACUGGUAUAAUGUUAACUUUUAAAAGUAACAUUUGGACACACUAGUAGACUAGUAAACAUUUUUAUUUACGGACGGUUUUGUUUACAUAUUGUUACUCUUGUUUCGAUGAGAUACUUUCAGUGUGACUUUAAAAUGUCUUAGAAAUUAAAGUUUUACAAAAAGUGAUUUCAUAUUUGGUUUAUAAGCAUAUUUAUAUGUGGGGCUUAUACUUUUGUUGUUUCCAUCUUAAAUGCCAUCAUGGCUAAAACUUAAGGGUAUUUGUAGGCUAAUUCCAUUUCAGUUUUAUACAGGGCAGUAAUAAUUCUGAUGAAUGCUGAAUUAAGGAAGAAAUGGAUAUUUUCUUUCUCUGUUGUGCAGUUAUUGGUAGAUCAAUUUCUUAUAACCCAAAAUGUAUCAUCAAUAAUUGAUAGCAUGUAUUUUAUUUAAUUACUUGAAUUAUUUAGACUUGUUUGAUUUCUCUCAUUUUUUCCAUAAAAGGACUGAACAGCACCUACUUGUGGUCUGGGCAGCUUAACCCAGAGUUCUUGGAAGAAUAAAUGCUGUUAGCAUCUGGUUAAUUUACUGGCAGACAGAAACCUACUCGUCAGUGGCUUUCAACUUUUUGACCACAGUAAGAAAUAACCCAUUACACACACACUCACACUCUCUCUCUCUCUCUCUCUCUCUCUCUCUCUCUCUCUCUCUCUCUCUCUCUCUCACACACACAGAUACAUAUAAGCAAAAAUGUAACAAGACAGUACCCAUUUUUCCUAAGUGCGCAUGCUGGCACCUUCUGUUUUAGUUAUUUUUAAAAAUACUAGACAGACACUAAGUUAUUUUGUGGCCUCCUAAUAGAUGGCAAACUUCAGUUUGAAAAGCAUCCCUUUGGAUUGUGGUUUGAAAGAGGAAAUAAUACAAAGACCUUUUUGGAGUAUUUUUUGUUUUUUUGUGUUUGAAUAUUGUUUAGGUAAAAAUUAUUGCUGCAAAUACCACUGAAGCAAAAGUAGUGUGUAUGCAAAUUACUUGUUGCAUUGUAGAAAAUAGAAGUUCCUAAAACUAACAAAUAGACAAAAUUUCAAAACUUGGUGAUUGAUCCAUAUGUCUUGAAGGAAUAUUAGGCAAUAAACUUAGCUUUUCAAGAGAAGUUAUUUAACUUCCAAUUCUGUGUUCUUUAAUUAGGAAACAUUUAUUUUCAAGGUUAACUAUAAUCAAAUAGGAACUUCAGACAAAACCUCAUUAUUCUUGGAUAUGGUGUUCUGCUGUUACUUCUCAAAGUGCUACAGAAGUCUAGUUCAUGAGCCUGGAUUAAGAACAGCAGGGCGGCCCUGGUGUUGUGAGUGGCUGUAGAGGACCAGAGUGAUGCAGGAGAACCUGUCGUGUCUGAGCGUGAGGAGGUGGAGAGUCACCUGUGGGCUAUGGAUCUGAGAACUGAAGUUUUAUCACUUACUCAAACCGUUUUGUGGCUGUUGUAAUAUUUUCUCCUUUGCUUUCCUUUCCUUUGAAAAGCUGUUAUUGGAUGCUGCGUACAAACACGGACACUUCAGAACCAAGCACAUUUGUUACUGCUGUAGCUAGUUAUAGUGAUUCUGCAGCUUUUCUUUUACAGCAUCUUGAAGUCAUCCACAGUUGUUCUGUGUGGACUUCACAGUAGAAUCAGAGAACUAAGUGACAAGUGGAGCGUCGUCCUUCUCCUCCUGCUCACUUCCUCCUUACCACCUCUCUAGCCUAGCUUUCCUUCAGUCUGAAGAGUGAUUUACUUUUUCUUUUCUUUGUAGUCUUUACUGUGGAAUCUCAUCAAAGACUUGGAAGCAGGGGUGGUGAGAGGGGCCUGGGGUGUGGUGUGGAGGGUCGAGUGCUCUGUGGUCCCACAGUCACCCCCAGGACCACCUUGCGAAGCAGAAAAUACACACCUGCAUUUUACAGAUAAGGAACGCCACUCAGAAAGCUGCAGACAUUUGCCUGGGGCCACACUCAUAGUGGGCAGAUGAACUGGAUGGAAAUACAGGCCAGUACAACCGCAGUCUCAUUCUUUCUUUGUUUGAGGUUUUCAGUUUCUUUUUCAGUCAUGUACCUUACAGUUCUAUUAUCUGGUUGGUAAAGAUUGAUGACAGGUAUCCGCAUUCUAGAUUAUAACCUUUAUUCUUAUCAAAUGCCUCCAGUCCCACAAUUCUCUUAAGAAUUCUCUUUCUGGACUUGAUACUGAUUUAAUGAUUUCCCCCAGCUCGUGGAAUGGCAGGCUCCUAAUUAAGUGGAUUUAAAGGCAAAGAGGGAUGUGUGAGAAGGCACAAGAAGUGGCUUCAUCUUGCCAGGAGCGGCAGAGAGGACAGGCAUGGAAAGGAGGCCUGUCUCCCACGGAGAACUCCUCUAGUGCGAGCAGACACGCAUGGUGGAACACGUGUGAGCAGGACAGGAGGGCCGUCUCUCGGGAACGCUGGCCCGCACCCACGAGCUGACCGCCAGCAGGGGAGAGAGGGGCCAGGCAGAUGGAGCACUCCUGGGUCUCCCGGCGCAGAGCCUGCAGCACACAGGACAGGAGGAGACCACGCAGCAACCUGGCAGAAGGUCACCUGGCAGAACGUCAUGUGUAUUUAAGUCCCCAGACUUCGGAAGGUGCCUUUGAGGACAUGGAAUUCUCUUCCAAUUCUCUCCCUUCUGCAAAAAGAUCGUGAGACAGCACAGGGUCGAGUGCUGUGGAGACUAUGAGCUGCCUUUGUCCUGGGAUGUUAGAAGAAUGAGUAUUGGCUUUAAGGAUGAGAGAUCCUUUUGAGUAAAGAACAUUCUGUGAACACAGCAGGCGGUCCACAAGGGUUGGGGUUUGAAUGAAGGGGGUGGCUGAGGAUCUUCCAGGCACCUGUGUUUUGGGAUUAGCCGUACUUGGAAGCCCGGUGGAAGCUGCUUUUCUAUUUAUGAGUCAAAUUCUCUUUCACUCUGAAUGUAAUUAUAAUUGCCAAGCAGCUGUAUCUUAAUUUAGGGUCUUCAAUUGCUAAUGUUUCCUAAGGCUUUAAUUUUAGUUUUCUUUGUUCCUUGGCCUUUUAAAUAUCUAAUAAUAUCUAAAUAAAUUAUUGAAAGAAGAGUUCUCUAUAUGUUGUAAAAGGAAGAAUUACUUGGAAAUAUAUACAGUGACCUCCAAUUGAUGCUUUGUAAUUCAGGUUUUCUGUAAAUUGUUUUUAAGUGUGAGAUACUUUCCACAUAUGCCUGAAAAGCAAGAUCUUUUCUUCCUUCAAAAUUAUACCUCAGAGAAAGGGUCACAUUCUAUCCAGACCUUGCGAAGUGUUUCAAGUUGUGCGGUAUGUUCUGAGAUGAGUUUUGAACAUAAAAGUACUAUUUGGAAUGACUGAUAAAUUGAAUGAAAUAAUCAAUAUGAUCUGGGUGUUUAUUCUCAAAGUGGGGCCCAGACCCUGCAGCCUCAGCUCCUGGGAACCUGAGAGAAAAGCAGAGCUUCAGGCUUUGCCCCAGGCCUGCUGAGGGCAGUCUGGGUGGGGGGCGGGGUAAGCCCUGCAAUCUGUGUUUUCCAAGCCCUCCAGGUGAUUCUGAGGCCCAUUCAGGUUGAAGAACCAGGGUCACAGAAGUUAUCACAUUUUUUAAAUAUGCAAAGUUACUUAACACAGCAUUAUUGAUCAUUCCUGAGGUGUCACCUCCCAACUCCAAGCAUGGGUAUCGCUGUGAGUGAGCUUUCGGAAGCCACGUGAGGAACACAGAUGCCUGGAGGAAUCCCAGCUGUCCUGAUGUUACAUGAAUGAGUUACUUGCAGCUCAAGGUAAACUUCCAAAGACAGCAUCAUUAGGACUGUUUAAAGUACAUUUUCCUUCAAACACGUUAGAUGGAAAUAGAGCUCAUAUGCUCUGAACAACUGUGUUGGGCGACUCCUAAGUGGCCCUAUUUAUGACAAAGACUCUGAGGUCCAAUAGUGAUGUCACCUAAAUGCCUCCUUCUGCCUCAGUCACUGUGGCAUACAGGUCCCAUCUCCUUUAUUAGAACGUCAGUUCCUGGGGCCAGGAGUGUUGUUCUUAACACUGAUAAUACCAUCCAGGGUUUUUAAAGGGUUUUGCAUCUGUCAUUACAUCCCGCCUUUAAACCCUCUCAAGAGCUCAGUACGUGCACUGACCAUAGCAGGCGCUUGUUGAAAAACACAGACUUGUCAAUUUUGCAUACAUACCAAAUAAAUCUCAGGGAGAGUGGCCCUUAACACUCAGUGCUCCAGUCUUAAUAGUAGCUGGUGUAAUAUAGCAAGGAAGCAAAUAAAUGCUUAGGGUAUGUUAAUAUACAUAAGAAUCACAAACUAAUUCCACAGUCAGGUGUUUGAUUCCACAGAAGAAAACCUAGCAUGGCAGACGCAAAUGUCCUUUCCACAAGUCUUGAUGAAAUAUUCCAUUCCACAAGUUUUGUUAUGUACUUUUGCUAUUCAAUUGAAAUUUUUUCUAAUUUCCAUUAUAAUAGGUUAUUUAGAACUGUUUAUUAAUUUCCAAAUGUGAGAUAUUUCUGUUUUUUUAAAAAAUUUUAUUUCUAGCCUCAGCUGCACUGCGGUCACGCUACACGACUUAAGUUUCUUGAAGUACAUGGACAUAAAGAUGGUAACAUGAGAUACUGGGGUGACUGGGGAGGGACACAAGGGCUGAAAAACUAACUUUUGGGUGCUAUGCUCAUGAGCUGGGUGACAAGAUCAUCUGUACCCCAAACAUCGCCGUCCUGCAAUACAUCCAGUAACAAACCUGCACAGGCACCCCCAAAUCCAAAAGCUGAAAUUACAAAACAUGAAUGUCUUAACCUAUGAUGAAAUUUGCAUCAUGGACAAGUAUAUGGUCAGUUUUCAUAAUGGUAUCUUUGUACUUUGAAAGGAAAUAUGUGCUACAGUUGCUCGGUGUGGUGUUCUACACCAUUCUCUCUAAUAAAUGCCUUUGCUUUAAAACCGCUUUUGUCAGGUAUCAAUACAUCAGCUUUCUUCUGUGAAGAGUUUAUGUGUAUAUUAUAGUACGUAUCAUAUGUGAUACACACUCAACACACACACAGUUCUUAUGUUUUCAGGCAUCUCCUCUGAGUAACAUGUACAUAAUCUGGUGCUGGAGCACUCAGUCCACUUUGUGUUGUUACUGACACACAAACGGCACACCUAUCCUGCUCUGUGCCUUCCAUCUGCCCUGCCAUUUUUUUAAAAUUUUGCUCUUUUCAAUUAAAAUUUUCUAUUCUCUUUACUAUUUUGAAGGUUAAAACUCUGUUUCUAUUCUUUUAGCUGUUGCCCUAGAAGUACAUACUUACAUUAUUAAGGUCUAAAUUGGAAUUUUUAUCCCUUGAACCAAUACAAGGAUCUCAGCAUACUUCUUAAUUUUCCUCUCCUGCUUAUGUUAUUUUUGUCAUAAGCUCGCUGUCUCUCUUUUAACCUGAGACAUGCUUAUUCUUGUUUGGUGGAAUCAAUGUCUAUUAGAUUUACUCAAAUUUUUACCACUGACUUCUCAGAUUUCCUGUCUGGGGCCAUUUUCCUUCCUCAUGCAAUGCAUCCUUUAGAAUUUCCUUUAAUGAAGACAUUCUGGUGGCACACUCUUUUUGUCUGAUGGCUUUUCUUUUGCCUCUCUUCUUGAAUGUAAUUUUCAUUUGGUUCAUAUGGAAGUCUAGGCUGACGGUUAGGUCUCCUCCGAAACACGGAGAUGUCAUCCCACCUUCUGCCGUUCCCACUGGGAAAUCUGCAGGGUUACAGGGUUUGCCAUCGUUUAUCCUCGUUCCUGGCCACUUCCAAGAUGACUCAGUGCCUCGUGUUCUGCAGGCUCACUAGACACUUAAACAAAGUCAUAUUGAGCUUCCUUGGGCUUCUUAAAUCUGUGGCUUGCAUCUUCAGAUCUGGGAAAUUCUUAGCCUUUGUUGCUUCAAGCCGUUGCCUCUGUCCCAGGUGUUCUCUUUUCUCUUCGAAUUCUGACAGUGACACUGAACCCUGCACCACGUCCUUAGGCAAGUCACUUCCCUGGACCUGCCUUCCCAGGGGAUACGAAACGUAGGGUCCCCCUUGCAGACCUGAUUCCUCAGUGAGCUGAAGGCAGGGCUUGGCUAGAACGUGUGUGUAUCAAGAGCCAAAGUCAAAACAGUAGAGCCAGCCGUGCUUAGCAUCCAGCUCUUCCAGAAAGAAGGAAAUGUGUGUGCACUAGGGGGUGGGAAAUACCAACUGUGUACCUUUUGGUGAUUCCACGUAUGAAUUAAAUGCUCUUAUAUUUGCACUUAAAACUGACAUUCUGGUGUAAAGAUGCGCUGUGAAAGUCAUAAAAUUUAUAAUUUAAUUUUUUCUUAGAAUACCAUUAAAUAGCAAAUAAAAAAUACUACAUGACCACUGGAGAGAGAGGCCACAGAAGUACAUACAGCUUUAUACUUUUAGUACUUGAACGGCACUUUCCCCAUGUUUUCUCUUUCAAACAGGGAUCUGUGUUUUCAUUUUCAUGGCACUAGGCCAUGCCUGCCGCCUUCCUGUCACCUGGAACACAGUUCCCCAGCCCUGCACGCUGCAGCCCCAGCUGUGUGUCUCGUGUGGUUACUCUGGGCUUCCCCUCCAUGGGCACGCCAUGGAGCGGAGGCUCCCAGGAAGCCCCUGUGCUGGAGGGGCCGAGUCAUGGCCCUUUCUCCCUGGGAGUCCCCAGCCCUGCCCUCUUCACCCUCUUUGGUCUGGGUCGCAGCUGCUGACCUCACACCCCCGGGGCUCUGAGGGCAGUUUCCAGUUUUCAUGUGGAUGCAGGUCGCCCUCUUGAAAAUGACCUAUCUGCUCAGCGCCCAGCUCAGGGCCUCACAGGGGUCUGGGUCCUGGAAGGAUCACCUGUGCCCAGCGGCUCACACUCUGCCAGCCUGCCCCUCCCAGACGCCAAGCCGCGCUGCCCUCUGCCUGGACAGAGGUUCCAGGGAAUGGCGCGGUCCCUCCAUUUGGGUUCAGGGUGCAUCUCCUCAGACAUUUCCACCUUAUUUCAAACAUCUCACCCCCACUUCACUCUCUCUCCCCUUCCUCUCUUUGUAUUUUUCUUCCUGGCACUUAUUACUUCUUGAAAAUUUUAACAAAAUAUUUUAUUGUCUCUCCCCAGCUCCCUGCAGGAAGGGUGCCCUGCAGCAGGCGGGAACCACCCGAGUGGCCUCCAUAUGCACCUGGACAGGCGCGUGGGCUGGGUGCUCACACCUGGGCCCCAGAGGUGCUGGUCAGCACCCCCUUUACAAUGAAGGCUCGCAAAGUACACAACUCCAAGUGCCAGUCCAUGAAAGCAGUUCACAUAGACUUUUAAUACAGAUCCACACGGUGAAUGACAACAAUUUCUAAAGGGGCUGGGGUGAAAAGAGUUGGGGAAGUGCUGAGCUGCCACGGAACAGGCACUGUGCUAGCACGACAGUCUGGAGGACAAACACUGGUUCCGUUAACAAAGAGCUCCCGUGUAGCAAGAAGAGCCCCGCUGACGAUGGAAUGCGAUGGAAUGCGUGCUGCUGUGGCACCGGACUCGGGAGACACGGAGGAGGGAGGGAGGGAGGAAUCGCCAGGCUUCCUGGGAAGUCAGCCCUGGGCCGACGCAGCCGGUGGGACAGGGACCUGGGAAGGAAGGAGUGAGGACACAGGCAGAGGGACCAUGCAGGGGGCAAGACCCACAAGGGCAAGUCACUGGAGCCCAGCCCCACCCACCUCCCUCGACAGCCUCUGUCCUCUGGGAACGCUGUCCCAGGUCACUCCCCACGGGCCACCCUCCUUCCUUCUUGUUCCUUCCUUUCCUGUGUGAAUCUUAGGGUCUGGCCAAACUUGUUGACUCCGUUCAGUGAAUCACUGUUAGAUAUUUCUGUUUCCUUGACUGCACAUGAAUGGCUAGUGGGAUCCAUGUGUCCCAGGUACCUGGGCUGGAGGUGACCUCUCUUCUCUGAGCUCUCACAGGGCACUGCUGCUGCUUUCAUUCCACACACGUCAGCUGCCCAGUGUUAGCUUUUUCCUGUGUGCAUUGCUUAUCUCCUUGAAUGACUGCCUUAGAUUCAGGGAAGCACCAAUUCAUCUUUGUAAGGCCCUUAGCAUUCAAGAAAUUUUGACUUUAGGUUGGCAACAGAUGAGAAGUGAGAGCAAAUAUAUGCCUCAAAUGUACAUAUUCCAAAGGAGUGCAGCAGAAAUCCUUUUUCGGGGAACUGAGAAAAAACACUGCCUACCUAAAAUGAUUUUGAAAUUAUUUCCAGUGUCAAAAUUCAGUAAAACAUCAACUUUAGCUUAUAAUCAUAACAUUGACAUUAGCUUAUUAAUAAAUAUACUGAAAGUCCUUUCAUAGGCAUUUAUGACAAAUUUAAAAAGUGAACUGGGAUGAAUAUUAUAGCUUUGAGUAUUCAAAGGUUAGCAAGGGUGGUACUUGUAAAAGUCAACAUUUAUUAAUCAUUGUAGUUAAUUCAAAGUAAUAUUCUGUGGUUAGCUACUAUUAAAUAUUUUUAAUUGUCAGAUUCUUCUGUGUGCAACGUUCUUUAUUCCUUUAUUUACUCCCUCACUUUUCAUGUGGGUUAGAUGACCUUAGUAACUGAAAGGGCAAGAACUGUCAAAAACAAAUGACAAUUGAUUUCUAGUUUUUAAACAAAUGGUUGAUAUUAUGAAUUCUAC